UCAAGCACUUUUUAUGCCCUGAAGAAAAUUGUAGGACCUCAGACAGUUCCUGUAAAAUGCAAAGCAUGUCUACAAUGCCCUUUACAGUGAAAUAGUAAAGUUUGCUUGCUGCUUUAUAUGAUUUUAAGAAAGUAAUUUUCAAAGAGAACUGAAAAAUAAAUACAUGAAGAUAGAAAUGAUUCCUCAUUUUCACUGCAACCUUCUAUUUCCUCCAUGGAUAUGCCCUAACUAAAAUAAAUAUAUAUUUAUAUAGAUAUAUAUUUUUAAUUUAUAAAUGUAUACUAUAUAUUACACACAAUAAAUUUACACAGUGUAAAAUUUAUAAUUUUACACUUGUAUAUGAUAAGGUAUAUCACACAGGCAGUAUUUGCUGUACUACAUAGUACAUACUGCAUGCUGUAUGUGACAGUGCUGCAUACAGUGCAAGUUGAUGUAUUCUGUCCUUGUAAAUAAAUUUGUAUUUAUAUUAUACUGCAUCUAUUAACAUCUAUAUAGAAAUAGAAGAUUGUGUUAUCAUAUAUUAACCAUUACAGGCAUAAACAUCUUCUGUAUAUGCCUAUGUUCCUCAUGCACCUUCUUUCAAUACCACCUUUUUUCAGACCACUCUCUGUAGGAAAGGUGAUCUUCAUUGACUCACUGUUGCUGUGUGUUUCAUUCCAUUUGGUGUUUUCUAGUCCAAGGCAGAGUCUGAACAUAAGCUAGCUGCAGGUAUAACAGCGUGGGAUUCUGGCCUACAGUUGGCACAAGUUCAGAUACAGCAUGCUAAGUGCCUCCAGCCUGCUUAAAGUCACAAAAAUUACCAUGAGCCCUCAGACUAGGAGUGGAUGUAUGAAUUCAUUUUUUACUUGGACUUUGAUUGCAGUGAUAUCAUGUUUUUUAAGUGAAUAUGCUCCCCUGUGAGUGUUUGCAGAGUGAAGGCACUGAAGUGAUUUGGUUCUCAGUUGCAGAUUGAAAAGCCCUGUAGGCAUGUUGCAUCUUCUCAGUUUUGGUGCACCUUUGCUGUAGGAAGUCCAUUAUUCAGAUUAAAAAUGCUUAGUGAGUGAUAGCAAUAAAUAAUUUCUGAGUGAAUUUUAAGAAGCUGCUAAAGGUUCAGAGCUCUGUGUGCAUGUGUGUCUGCAUAUGGGAGUGUGACAUUCUGUAUUUUUCAGUGAACUAAUUUUUAAGAAGACAUUAAGUCAACUAAUGAGAGAGCCACCUCUCUUGGUGUUAAUUUUGUGUCCAGUUAAUAGAUUUUUGUGAGGUUGCAUGUUAAACACUAUCCUGUUUUGAUUGUAAUCGCUUGAGGUUUUUUUAUUGAUAUUAACAUAAAAGACUUUUAAAUAUUAUUUUUUCACUAGAGAAAAAGAAAAUGCUACAAAUGUUGAAUACCUGAUGGUACUUUUUGUAAGUCUCUCCACUAACUGUUUGGGUAAGUCCCCCACUGGAAUAGUCCCUUUUCUCCACAUGCCACUUAUCAAACAGUUUUAACUGAAUCCAGAAUUUUACAGGUCCUCUUCUAAGCUUAGAACUUCUCUGCUACAUUACAGGUUGUGUCUUCUUGUCCCAGAGUCUGAAUCUAAAGGGUGCAUGUUUACGAUCAUGUGUUGUUCUGGCCUAUGUCGGAUUACAUUCUGAUUGUGUUCUAUUUUUUCUGCACUGAUUUCGGUUCCAUAAAUACACAUCUCUAACUUCUCUCAUGUCCAUAAGCAGGCUGAUGUGGUGUGUAUUCUUGUCAUCUCCCAGUGAUGCACAGGAUAAUAACCUCAUGGUGACACAGAACACAGCACACUGUAACUACAGGAACAGACUCGACUGUGAAAGAUCUCUAUCAGGCAUCACAGAGAAUUUGAGGCAGCUGGCAGUUAUCAGCUGAAGCAGUUAGUCAGUAGAACUGUACAAGAUAAAUAGAUAAUUGAAAAGCCAUCUGGAAACCUGGGAAAGAUAACAAGCCUGUCUUCUAGAAGUGAGGUAACAACUCAGACAAGAGUCAAUGCAACCUGUGGACUCUUCUGGUGCCUUGUCUGCUGAUGAACUGCUUUGAAGAUGUUUCAGAGGGAACUGAGUUGUUCUCUAAGCUCCAUCUGAACACAGACAAAAAUUAUGGCAUCAUGUGAAAUGUACUGUCAGAGUUUCUGUCUUGCAGUUCUCUACAGGAUGAAAUUCCCAGCAACUUGAAAAAUACAUUAAAAAAUAUAUUUUAAUCACUAAGUUCCGACAAAAAUAGUGAAAAAAAACUUUCCUGAGUUUCUCCUAAAGACAAAUAAGGAUUCUGUAAAAUUGUUUGACCUUUGCUUGUUGUUUGCUGUGACUCGUGCACGUCAUACAACAGUACCCGAAGCUAUUGGCCAAGUAAAGUAAUCUUGGAUAUCUUCGUGUGCUUUUGUUCUGAAAAUGUGUAUCAAUAUACAUCUUGGAUCUCUCAGGCUUAUUCAAUGCAUUUAAGAUAUUAACAGGAUUAUUUGAGUUGGUAACCUGAAAUAAUCUGGCACUGCAUUUAUUGAUGUACAAGAUUAUUCUGAAUUUUGUGUCUAAAUGUCUUAUAUACCUUACAGGUCCAUGUGAAUAAAAUACUUUGCUUUAAACAUA